CCCAAAUGAAAAUCACAUCGUCCACACCAGGUUAGAUACUUAGAUUUCUUUCAUAUAAUUGGGUUUUUGGCUUCUCAAAUCAUAUGUUCUUUUUGUAUUCUUCAGAUCCUUGUUUUUUCCCUCUAACUUUGCUUUUUCUAAUUUGUGUUUUGCUUUGGUUUAGCCGUUUAGGGUAAUAUGAAUCUCAUCGCAUCCGCUUUUUCUCUCAGAAAAGGAAAAGCCUUUGGGUUAGUCGUUGCCUUUUCUCUCUCCUGUUCUUCGCCCAGCUUCCAUGGAUGACGAUAAGGCAAUUGCUGUCACCACAUGUAUCCGAGAAUCGUGGCCAGUUUUGUUGCUUACGCGUCUUCUUUGCGUCUGCAUUGGGCUUCUCUAAACCAGCUGCUUCAGGUAGCACAGAAAUGUCAAAGCACGCUUGCUGACGUUGGAUCUGAAGGAGUUUCUUCACAAGAUCUACAAACAAACAGUAAUAUGUGAGUUUAUUGAUAUUUAAUUAAAGGAAAUUAAUGAGUCUCAACAGUCCAAUAUGCUUAGAAAUGCAAGACAUGUUCCAUCCCUUGUCAGCUUUUAUCCGAAGGUUUACAAACAGUAGAGCAUUGUGCGUGCCCCUACACAUGUUUAUGGAUUUUGAAACCAGAUUGUCUGUCCUGAAUCUGAAUAGUUCAGAUGCUUUUUUUUUAUAAGGAAAGAGAUAAUAUAUAUGUUCUGUAUUAAAAUUAUGAGUUC